GUCCUAGCUGUAAACGGUGCACGUUUGGUGUGGGGGGCAACCCUCCCUGUGCCGGAGCUAACGCGUUAAACGUGCCGCCUGGGUAGUACGGGUCGCAAGACUAAAACUCAAAGAAAUUGACGGGGACCCGCACAAGCGGUGGAGUAUGUGGCUUAAUUCGAUGCAACGCGAAGAACCUUACCUGGGCUUGACAUGUAUUGUAACCCCGGUGAAAGCCGGGCAGCGUGGAAACACGCGCUUUACACAGGUGCUGCAUGGCUGUCGU
rnacentral:rRNA from 1 species